rnacentral:rRNA from 1 species
GAUGAACGCUGGCGGCGUGCUUAACACAUGCAAGUCGAACGGUAAGGCCCUUCGGGGUACACGAGUGGCGAACGGGUGAGUAACACGUGGGUGAUCUGCCCUGCACUUCGGGAUAAGCCUGGGAAACUGGGUCUAAUACCGGAUAGGACCACUGCCUGCAUGGGUGGUGGUGGAAAGCUUGUGCGGUGUGGAUGGGCCCGCGGCCUAUCAGCUUGUUGGUGGGGUGAUGGCCUACCAAGGCGACGACGGGUAGCCGGCCUGAGAGGGUGACCGGCGACACUGGGACUGAGAUACGGCCCAGACUCCUACGGGAGGCAGCAGUGGGGAAUAUUGCACAAUGGGCGCAAGCGUGAUGCAGCGACGCCGCGUGAGGGAUGACGGCCUUCGGGUUGUAAACCUCUCUCAGCACCGACGAAGCGCAAGUGACGGUAGGUGCAGAAGAAGGACCGGCCAACUACGUGCCAGCAGCCGCCGUAA